CCUACGGGGGGCAGCAGUGGGGAAUAUUGGACAAUGGGGGCAACCCUGAUCCAGCCAUGCCGCGUGUGUGAAGAAGGCCCUCGGGUUGUAAAGCACUUUCAGUGAGGAAGAACGCCUGGUGGUUAAUACCCAUCAGGAAAGACAUCACUCACAGAAGAAGCACCGGCUAACUCCGUGCCAGCAGCCGCGGUAAUACGGAGGGGUGCGAGCGUUAAUCGGAAUUACUGGGCGUAAAGCGCGCGUAGGUGGCUUGAUAAGCCGGUUGUGAAAGCCCCGGGCUCAACCUGGGAACGGCAUCCGGAACUGUCAAGCUAGAGUGCAGGAGAGGAAGGUAGAAUUACCGGUGUAGCGGUGAAAUGCGUAGAGAUCGGGAGGAAUACCAGUGGCGAAGGCGGCCUUCUGGACUGACACUGACACUGAGGUGCGAAAGCGUGGGUAGCAAACAGGAUUAGAUACCCUGGUAGUC
rnacentral:rRNA from 1 species